CCAGUAGCAACCAGCAACUAAAAUAUAGCAACCAGCAACCAAAAAUACAACAACCAGUAGCAACCAGCAACUAAAAAUACAGCAACAUUUCCACAAUUCAGCAGAUUUUAACCAGCAACAAUAGAGCAGUUAACUAAUAUACCAACCAGCAACCACCAGGCACCAACAAUACAAUUCAAGAACAAUUUUAACUAAAAUUCGACCAGCUUCAACAACUACUCUAAAAAAUCAAAUUUAUCAAUAGAUUCCAUAACAAUAGGUCAAUAGCAGAGGCACUGACCUGAGGGAGCAGAGGCACUGAGGCAGAAGAUGAAUUGUUGCUGAGCUUUCUGACGGCGAGGUGAGGGGAGAAGCAGUGACGGCCGGGAGAAUGAUGACGCCGCGGAGAGUGACGACGACGUUCGGCGGUGACUGAUGAGGCCAAUUGAUGAAUUUGUUUUUGGUCUCAGACACUCAACUCU